rnacentral:rRNA from 1 species
CAAAGAGAAUAGAUUUAACCAUUAAGGAAUAACAACAAUCUCCAUGAGUUGGUAGUUUCGGUUGGGGUGACCUCGGAGAAUAAAAAAUCCUCCGAGCGAUUUUAAAGACUAGACCCACAAGUCAAAUCACUCUAUCGCUCAUUGAUCCAAAAACUUGAUCAACGGAACAAGUUACCCUAGGGAUAACAGCGCAAUCCUAUUCAAGAGUCCAUAUCGACAAUAGGGUUUACGACCUCGAUGUUGGAUCAGGACAUCCUGAUGGUGCAACCGCUAUCAAAGGUUCGUUUGUUCAACGAUUAAAGUCCUACGUGAUCUGAGUUCAGACCGGAGUAAUCCAGGUCGGUUUCUAUCUAUUACGUAUUUCUCCCAGUACGAAAGGACAAGAGAAAUAAGGCCAACUUUAAAUCAUGCGCCUUAAGACAACC